UACGUAGGGGGCAAGCGUUAUCCGGAUUUACUGGGUGUAAAGGGAGCGUAGACGGCAGGGCAAGUCUGGAGUGAAAGGCAGGGGCCCAACCCCUGGACUGCUCUGGAAACUGUCCGGCUGGAGCGCAGGAGAGGUAAGUGGAAUUCCUAGUGUAGCGGUGAAAUGCGUAGAUAUUAGGAGGAACACCAGUGGCGAAGGCGGCUUACUGGACUGUAACUGACGUUGAGGCUCGAAAGCGUGGGGAGCAAACAGG
rnacentral:rRNA from 1 species